ensembl:miRNA Mir6905 microRNA 6905
GGGAGACUGGGCAGAUUGGGUUGAAUGAUUUGAUCAUGUAGUCACUUAAAUAACCUUAUCUGCCCGAUAG